CAUUGUUUCAUGAAUCCAGUGUUGACACAAGUAGGUUAAACUAACGUUUUCAUCAGUUCCUCGUGGCUCAUUCUUUCGUUUGCAACCUUCCUCUUUAAUCUUAUUUUUUCGGAUUUUCCAGUACCUCUGCUCUCUGUCUGUACGUACAUGUGGGACUUCGAUGUGAGAUCAUGAACGCACGACUAGAGAGUUGGGCAUAUAUCAGUGCGUCUAUUUAGUGAAUCCAUAUACGCCCAGGCACAAACAUAGAGUAAGACGUUUUAAGGAAUUUUCUCUUUCACCCUACUAUUUAUUCACGGUGUAACUCAGUGGUCUCUAAUGUGCGGCAGUCGAUUCCACCGUAAUAGAUAUCUACCUCGAGCUUCGUUGUGAUCUACUAAACAUUUGUGUGUUUAGGAGUCACUUCGUUUAUAGACACGGCGACGUGGAAGCUGACGAACCAAACAGACUACCGACAAUAGCCUUGGGGACGUUAGAAUUCUGGCAAGGAUAGAGCCAGACAAACCGAUACCAGCGUUAGAGAAAGAUGCAACGAAGACGUCAGAUAGGAAGCUCACAGGCGGGUCUGUUGAGACAAAGGAAGUCCUAAAGCAGGGAAAGAAGUCGAAUGCAGUUUAUCUUCAGAGUAAGCCUAAUAAACGAGGUAGUUAAUCGAAAGGGAAAAAGAUCGGUCCGGAACAACGGGCAAAAUAGGAAGACAAAAAUGAAAGGCAAGAAGACAGCGAAAACGCGUGACGGUCCCAGCGGAAACAAGCAGCGGAUUUUCACAAAGGAUUCUACUAUUCAGCCGAAGCGUAUCGACGGAUACGAUUUAUUCCUAGCUUUCCUCGUACCAAUGAUCCUGUCGAUGAGGAAAUUCAUCAAAGGAGACGACUGAUCAUCGCGAUGUGCAACAACGGCGAUGACCAUGAUUCAACAGAGGCCCUAUCUUCCCCCACAACAGAAUGACUUAUAUCUUUAUGUGACACUCUACUAAUCAAAUUCUACAUGGGAGUCGACAAAACUCAUGCGUGAGGAAGCUCAUUUUUACUAUGAUUUUCUACCUAAAAGACGACACAGGGCGGCCCAGUGAUGUCAAUGGAAAAAACGAAGUUGAUUUUUGAAUUGAGUAGGAACUCAGAAACGGAGUUACUUGUAAUGUAACAUUAUUUAUGCCAACUGCCUCUGAGAGGGUAGCUACCAUAAAAUUUCAAAAUGUAUCCAUUCAUGCGAUACUCCCGGUAUCCCGUUUCUUAGCGCCUAACUAGUGCGCGUAUAAGAGUGCGCACCCUCUGUUGUAAAUACAGACUCAACUUUGGGAAUUUCCAUUAAUUCUCUCAAAAAUAUAAGCUCUGCGUUAACGUAAGAGUCCUAUCACAAUACACUGAAACUUUUCAAACCCAUUUGUUAAUACCUUUUUAACCCAUGAAUCACGUGUCAUCUCGUGUAUUGCAUGUCUGAUCUACCUUCUGGAGAUUUAAUUAGACUUUCUUGAAAUUUGGCUGAAGACCACAGAAUAAAAGCAAAGUAGAGUCACAAUUCAAGUCAUCGUACAUCUGUAGGCAAUGGACUGUAAUAGGCAAUGAUUCCUUAGUUUAAUGAGAUUAUAAAGCUUAUUAUAAUUAACUUUGUAUCGCUUCCUGGCGUUCCUAAGGUUUAAUAGUUAAUAUUUUUUUUAUUGACGUACAGAUCUUGCUCUUCAUUCAUUGUGCAACGCGAUUAUGUAAAUCUGAAGAUUACGCACUAACAACUGUCGUGUCUCUAGAAAAAUAAGGCAGUGAUACUGUCUUUGCCCACGUACCAAAAAAUAAAAUAAAAAAUUAUCAAACUUGAUAGUAAUAAAGAUGUGGAAAAUUCUUGCUUACUCACCCUGAGCGAUUUUGCUCUCAGUUCAAUAAA
rnacentral:lncRNA from 1 species